rnacentral:rRNA from 1 species
UACGUAGGGUGCAGGCGUUAAUCGGAAUUACUGGGCGUAAAGCGUGCGCAGGCGGUCUCUUAAGACAGGUGUGAAAUCCCCGGGCUUAACCUGGGAACUGCAUUUGUGACUGCAUGGCUGGAGUGCGGCAGAGGGGGAUGGAAUUCCGCGUGUAGCAGUGAAAUGCGUAGAUAUCCGGAGGAACCCCAGAGGCGAAGGCGGCGUCCUGGCUCACAACUGACGCUCAUACACGACAGCAUGGGGAGCGAACGGG